GAGUUUGAUUCUGGCUCAGCGCGAACGUUGGCGGCGUGCCUAACACAUGCAAGUCGUGGGGCAGCAGGUUACUGUCUUUUGGCAGUAGUGCUGGCGACCGGCAAACGGGUGAGUAACACGUAGCUUACCUACCCAUAGGUCGGGGAUAACAUCCCGAAAGGGGUGCUAAUACCCAAUAAUGAGGAGACUCCAAAGCCCUUAUGGGUGCCUAUGGAUGGGGCUGCGUCCCAUCAGCUUGUUGGUGAGGUAAUGGCUCACCAAGGCUACGACGGGUAACCGGUCUGAGAGGAUGACCGGUCACAGUGGGACUGAGACACGGCCCGCACCCCUACGGGGGGCAGCAGUGGGGAAUAUUGGGCAAAGGCUGAAAGGCUGACCCAGCAACGCCGCGUGGUGGAUGAAGCCCUUCGGGGUGUAAACACCUUUUCUGGGGGA
rnacentral:rRNA from 1 species